rnacentral:tRNA from 1 species
GCCAGGUUAGUGUAGUGGUAACACAUCUUCGCCCUAAAGAAGACCCAGGUUCGAAUCCUGGACCAGGCA